AUACCAUAAACCAAAUGAAGUAUUUUUCUCUCUUGUCUCCUAUACUUAUACCUUCAUCUGCUUUUUCUCUUUACCUUAUGUUUGAUGUUCUUUGGUUCAAACAAAAUUGUGGCAGUGACACUAGGAAACCAAACUGAUCAUUUUGCAUUGCUCAAAUUCAUAGAAUCAAUAACCAGUGAUCCUUACGGAACUCUUGAAUCUUGGAAUUCCUCUAUCCACUUCUGCAGCUGGUCUGGAAUCACAUGCAGCCCCAUUCAUGAAAGAGUUAUUGAGUUGAACGUAAAAGGAUAUGACUUACAUGGAUCUUUAUCUCCUCAUGUUGGAAAUCUCACUUUUUUGAUAUCUCCUCAUGUUGGUCUGUUUUACGGUUUCUAUUGCCUAUAAAAUUUUUGGAGGCAUUCUUCCCACUACAACAUUUUUACUCUACAGCAACGCCUAUUUUUUAUGAUGUAAAAAACCGUUCUCGUAGAGUGUAAUAGGCAACCAACUUUAUAACCCGUUGCAAUUGGAUAUAUUUUUUAAAAAGUUUAUCAUUUUCUUUAGCAACCGGUAAUAACCGUUCCACUAUGAUUUUAAUUAUUUAAAUAAAAUGUAUUUAUAUAUAAGACUCUUUUAUGUUUGAAUAAAAUAAAUUAACAAAACAUCUAUACUUGACAGGCGGAAAAUUUCAUUGACCGCUAAAAAGUGAAUAUCUUCCCUCCGAGACUCAUCAAAGCUUCAAAUUUCUACUUGAAAACCCUAAAAUAAAAAGUUUAAUUUCUUAAUCAAAGACUCCUCAAUCAAAAGGUAAAAUUUCUUGUCCCAAACCUAAAUUCACACUUCACGUCCUCAACCUAAUAAAAACCCUAAAAUUAAGGAUCCAUAUUCCCAACACCAUCAUUCUUCACAAGCUCCACGAACAAAGCUCACCGCAGAUAUGUUGUUAGAUGUUCGACCCAAUUUUAUGGGUGUCGCAGGGGAGGGAGAGAGUGGAGCUCUAAGAAGCAUUAUUUCCGACUUCCUUCCUUCUGUAGAGGAGAUAGGGCGCAUAUUCUCUAGGUCGCAGCGUCUUUACUCAUAUCGACUCUUUGGCGUCUGCAGCUCAACUACGAGGUCUCCGCAUUUCACGACUCAUCAUUUCCUCAAACGAGCUUCUUUCCUUGUGGGCCAUCAUUGAACCGAUUUUUAGGUGUUGUUGUUUGCUAUGUCUAUUUAACGCCAAUUUUCAAUAUUGAGGUUUUGUUUUUCUUUUGCUACAAUGAUUUUAUUUUUUUCUUUGGGUUAUGUAAUUUCUAUUCUUUAAUUUUUGGAUUUAUAAUUUAGGAAAAUCUUUUGGGAUUGUAGACACAGUGAAUGUACAGGUUCUGAACUGGAUGUCAAAGGAUCAAACAUUGAUUCACACACGUUUGGUGGAGCUGAGGUGUUUGAUACUGAUGGAGAGCCUCUAGUUGAGACUGAAGCAUUGCACGGUCUGAGUUGGAGGUCUGAUUCGGUGUUUCACAUAGCGCUGUUAUUACUUGAUAUGACUAGGUACAAGUUCUUAAAAUUUUUUGGAUAAUGCAUAAGGUCUUGUUGCUGAAGUAAUGAGAAAAUUAGUGUCCAUUGCUCCAAUUCACUUUCGGCUUUUUGUCUCACACCUGUUAGGAGCAGUUUGAGACUUGACUUCAUAUGCUUGGUUUUUAAUAUUUUAAUGGUGUAUCUGGUUCCCGCUGAUCUAACGGUAUGCCGAUUUGUGUAUGUGGUGCGAAAAAGAAUCAAACUGUAUCCUAAGAAGCCAUCUUCAUUUUUGAGAAGAAAAUUUUACCACCAACAGGUCAUGAGUGAUGUUAUCAAUGAAGGUUUUUAGUCAUUCAAAGAUGAAGAGACGUAGAUGAAGAGAUGUAUAGAUAGAUGUUUAAGUUUACUUUUUUAAAUCAGGAUAUGUAAAUUGAUGUUUUGUUAAUUGUGAAUCAAUGA